AGCUCCAAUAGCGUAUAUUAAAGUUGUUGCAGUUAAAAAGCUCGUAGUUGGAUCUCGGGCGCCGGCGGGCGGUUCGCCUCGCGGCGGUUAAUGCCCGCUCCGGCCCUACUCUGGCGGGUCACUGCGGGCGGGGUCUUUACUGAGGGGCUUCGGUGUCCGGCACGUUUACUUUGAAAAAAUUAGAGUGCUCAAGGCAGGCGGAACGCCUGAAUGAUGCUGCAUGGAAUAAUGGAAUAGGACCUCGGUUCUAUUUUGUUGGUUUUCGGAACUUGAGGUAAUGAUUAAGAGGGACUGCCGGGGGCAUUCGUAUUACGGUGUUAGAGGUGAAAUUCUUGGAUCGCCGUAAGACGAACAACUGCGAAAGCAUUUGCCAAGAAUGUUUUCA
rnacentral:rRNA from 1 species